UCUCUUGUGGCUUAGCUGGUAAAGAAUCCACCUGCAAUGUGGAAGACUUAGGUUCAAUCCCUGGGUUGGGAA
rnacentral:tRNA from 1 species